rnacentral:rRNA from 1 species
GUAGGGAAUAUUGCACAAUGGGCGAAAGCCUGAUGCAGCAACGCCGCGUGCACGAUGAAGGCCUUCGGGUCGUAAAGUGCUUUUCGAGGAGAUGAGGAAGGACAGUAUCCUCGGAAUAAGGAUCGGCUAACUACGUGCCAGCAGCCGCGGUAACACGUAGGAUCCGAGCGUUAUCCGAAUUCACUGGGCGUAAAGCGCGUGCAGGCGGUUAUGUAAGUUGGGUGUGAAAUCUCCUGGCUCAACUGGGAGAGGACGCUCAAUACUGCGUGACUAGAGGACGGUAGAGGGAGGUGGAAUUCCCGGUGUAGUGGUGAAAUGCGUAGAUAUCGGGAGGAACACCAGUGGCGAAGGCGGCCUCCUGGGCCGUACCUGACGCUCAGACGCGAAAGCUAGGGGAGCGAACGGGAUUAGAUACCCUAGUAGUCC